GUCUACGGCCAUACCACCCUGAAUGCGCCCAAUUUCGUCUGAUCUCGGAAGCUAAGCAGGGUUGGGCCUGGUUAGUACUUGGAUGGGAGACCACCUGGGAAUACCGGGUGCUGUAGGCU